ensembl:misc_RNA Metazoa_SRP Metazoan signal recognition particle RNA
GCCGGGUGCAGUGGCGCGCGCCUGUAAUCCAAGCUGCUGGGAGGCUGAGGCUGGCGGAUCGCUUGAGUUCAGGGGUUCUGGGCUGCAGUGGACUAUGUCGAUAAGGUGUCCGUGCUAAGUUCGGUAUCGAUAUGGUGCUCCUGGGGGAGCUUGGGACCACCAGGUCAUCUAAGGAGGGGUGAACCGGCCCAGGUAUCUGCAGGUGGACUAACAGCGAAAGAAAGAUUUGCAGAUUAAUGAUUAUGAUUAAGAAUUCGGUGAUAAUCAAAUUGUU